AAUUCUGUAAAUUUUCAGCCAAUUUGGUGAUCGUUAAGAUGUCGAACAAGAUUAAAUCAAUGAACGAACCAAAUCUGCCAGACCUGAACCGUUCAUGCUUAUAAUUAAAAAUCGUAGUUUUGAAUGCCUUAACGAUCACCAAAAUUUCUAAAAAUUUGCAGAAGUGAUCUACUCAUAUAUAACUACAUAUUGAACGGUGGAGAUGUGAUUUUGUGAUCAAAAAGUUGGUGUAAUCCCCCAUCCCUCAUAUAUGUCAAAAAAAGGGAUCCCUCAUUGGAAGGGCCCUGAUUAAGAAGUGUAGGUAAAAAAUAGUUAUAAGUUAGUUGUAUGUUAGACAAUUAUAUAAGAUUUUACCUUUCAGAUUCGUAAAAAAGAAAUAUAUAUCAUAAAGAUGCGAACAUGAACAACUUGGAUGCUUAGCAAGGUUGGUUGUGGCAUUAACCUUGUAUCAGGCCAAACAAGGUUCGAAACCUGUUGGCAGCAUAAUUUGGUUUUUAGUUUGGAGAAUGGAGACGAGGAGGAGCGAGUUUUCAAGGUCAAGACAAGCCAGUACAGACUGCAGAGUGGGACACGAAGACCAGCCAGUGCAGAGUGGGACCAGCUAGUGCAGACUGCAGAGUGGGACACGAAGACCAACCAGUGCAGAGUGGAACACGUGGGGUGCAGCAGUCCAUGAGCAUAGUGACUUUUCUGGAAUAUUCCGGAAAUAUAGGUCAGAAAUCGAAUAUUUCGCGAUAUAUCGAUAGUUUCGGACCAAAAUUUUUGGGGUGAGAAAAAAAUUCGGUGAGUGAAAAAAACGAUAUUUUCGACGAAAUAUCGCCGAAAAUAUCGAUUUUUUCUUCCUUGGCCUUGACCCACCUUGUCCCGCCUUGGGCUGCCUUGACUCGUCUUGAGCCGCCUUGACCCGCCUUACGCCUCUUUGACCCAUCUAAGUCUACUAAGAGGCCGCCUUCACCCAUCUAGGGCCAUUAAGGGACCACGUUCACCUGUCUAAAGCCUCCAAGGGGCCGAGUUAGCCCAUCUUGACCCGCCAAGGGGGCUGUCUUGACCUUCCUAGACCCGCCCAAGGCCGCCUUGACCCUCCUAGGCCCAUCUUGACCCUCUUAAGGCUGCCAAAAGGCCGUCUUAACCCAUCUAGGACCGCCUUGGUAGGGCUGCCAAGGGGCCGCGUUCACCCGUCUAAGGCCAAGGGGCUGCCUUGACCCUCCUAGACCCUCAUAGGGCAACCUUAACCUACCUAGGGCCGCUAAGGGGCCGCAUUCACCCGUCUAAGGCUGCAAAGGGCCGUCUUGACCAGCUAAGGGACUGCCUUGGCCCUCCUAGACCCACCUAGGGAUGCCUUGACCCUUUUAGGCCCACCCAGGGCCACCAAGGGGCCGCCUUGACCCACCUUGGCCCGUCUUGGGUACCUUGACCCACGUUGGCCCACCUUGACACGUCUAGGGCCGCUUUGACCCACCUUGACCCGCCUUGGCCCGCUUUGACCCUCUUUGGCCAGCUUUAACACGCCUUGGGCUGCCUUAACCCGCCUUGGGCCGCCAUGACCCUCCUAGACCCUCCUAGGGCCGGCUUGACCUGCCUAGGGACGCUAAGCGGCCGCCUUGACCCGUCUAGGGCAGCCAANNNNNNNNNNNNNNNNNNNNNNNNNNNNNNNNNNNNNNNNNNNNNNNNNNNNNNNNNNNNNNNNNNNNNNNNNNNNNNNNNNNNNNNNNNNNNNNNNNNNNNNNNNNNNNNNNNNNNNNNNNNNNNNNNNNNNNNNNNNNNNNNNNNNNNNNNNNNNNNNNNNNNNNNNNNNNNNNNNNNNNNNNNNNNNNNNNNNNNNNNNNNNNNNNNNNNNNNNNNNNNNNNNNNNNNNNNNNNNNNNNNNNNNNNNNNNNNNNNNNNNNNNNNNNNNNNNNNNNNNNNNNNNNNNNNNNNNNNNNNNNNNNNNNNNNNNNNNNNNNNNNNNNNNNNNNNNNNNNNNNNNNNNNNNNNNNNNNNNNNNNNNNNNNNNNNNNNNNNNNNNNNNNNNNNNNNNNNNNNNNNNNNNNNNNCCUGGAAGAAAAAUCACCAAACCCAAACACUUCUAAAACAAUUCAAUCCACAUCUUCUGGAGCCAUCCGCUCCCCCAAAUAAACAUCCACCACCUCAACCAACAUAAUAAAUCGAAAUAAUUUCAUGAAUUUAAUCUCUCAUAUAACAUACCAAAUAAACCUUUUUCAACACUCAUAGAUGGAGUCACAAGCUCUUAACUCACAACAUUAACAACAACAACAACAACACUUAAAACAUCCAAGGUUAUCAGAGCAACUACUAGGAAAGAAGAAAAUACAUAGGUAGGUUAACUAGUAACCUAUGAGAGAAACUGGAUGAGGUGGAAAAUAUGACUCGCCUCCUACCCUCGCCGAACAGAACUCUGCAGACUGGGCAUUUAAAACGAAAGGCCCAGGGGAAAGCAUUUAAAACGUUAGAGUGAGUGGACAAAAUAAAUAAUAAAAAUACGGACUUAAUGACAGAGCAUUGAAAUCAAUUUAACGCUUUUCCCAUAUUUUCCAUUGAGAAAAUAUUUAUUUUAUGCAUGCCAUUCUUGGAAAUCUUUCCGAAAAUAAUUAUAGACAAAACUAAUGAACCAAUUCCAUUGGUUCCUAAUAAAUCAAUAAAAAUAGGGAAGAUGUUUCACCAUAACAAUGAGCCUCUCAGGCUAUAAUAGCGUCCCACGCUAAGCGCUCUACUCACAUAUGAUGAGGACCGCUUAAAAAGUUAUAAUAGCGUCCCACGCUAAGCGCUCAACUCUCAUAUGAUGAGGACCGCUAAAUAAUGGCUAGCGUAACAAUAAAUAUAUAUAUAUACCGAUCGGUUGCCUCCCAGGCUAUAAUAGCGUCCCACGCUAAGCGCUCUACCCACAUAUGAUGAGUACCGCUAAUAAGACUAUGAUAGCGACUCACAUAUGAUGAGGACCGCUAAUAAGGUUAGCUAGCAAUAAUCUAUAUAUCAACCCUUUAUGGUGAAGUACAAUAUUAAAAUAAAUGAUCCACACUUCCCCAAAUAAAUUAUAAUAAACUCAUAGCGCACAGUACAGUUCCCAACUGUACAUGGAAAUAAUAUAAAACACUUGACACGUCCCACGUGUCAACUAAAAUUAGCAAGAGAGUUCCGGAAAAAAAUAAGUGGAACUCGAUAAUCCAACAAAAUAUUAUAUCUCCAAAUGCCUUUGAAAUUAAAUAACUUUAGCGCAUGCAUGAUAUUAAAAUCAAAUGUACUACUCACAGUGCUCGGCUAUGCUUGCCGACGGCCCGAGGCUUCCUCCAAAUGAUCCUCCUCACGUCCUGAACAAUAAAUAAUCAUUAAGCCUCCAAACCAGGACAAAACUUUAAUAAAAUUCCUGAAAUAAAAAGGAAGCCUAUAAUUUCAUUUCUCUUGCCCAACUUCUCCACAUUUUACCUAAUAAGGUUCACAUUACUCCGCACUUACCGAAAGCCAUAAUUUAACCUUUUUAGACUUUAAAACCUGCUAAACCAACUGCCGGAUUUCCAUUCGAAUAACCGCCUAAAUCCUUAAUCAUAGAUAAAUCCUAAACCUUAUCAAAUCUCCUCCAAAAAUUCCAAACUAUACUUCAUUAAACUCCUCUCAUUAAAACAACCCCAAAAAGCAUGAAAAACUGCCCCUAAGGGGCGGCGGCGGCGGCCGGCAGCCGUUUUCCGGCGACCUCCAAUGCUUCUCAAAUUUUCACAGAAUAUUCCUCUCAUCAUGGUCAACAACAUUCAUAACUAGCACUUAGUCCAUUUCUAAGGCUAACUAGGCCAAUGAAUCAAAACUUCCAUAAAUCCCUAAAAACUUCAAUUAUACAUUUCUCCAUAACAACAACGAAUAGACUAAUUCCUUUUGAGGGAAUACUCACCUUGAUGAGGGCUACGAAGAUGAGCCAAAGAUUCCGACCUAUGGUGGCCGGAGGUGGGAUUUCCGGCAAAAAGCUUCCCGACGACUCCGGCGAGUUUCUCCUCUUCCGGCGGGCUAACGGCUAAGGGGCUUGGCCGGGGAGNNNNNNNNNNNNNNNNNNNNNNNNNNNNNNNNNNNNNNNNNNNNNNNNNNNNNNNNNNNNNNNNNNNNNNNNNNNNNNNNNNNNNNNNNNNNNNNNNNNNNNNNNNNNNNNNNNNNNNNNNNNNNNNNNNNNNNNNNNNNNNNNNNNNNNNNNNNNNNNNNNNNNNNNNNNNNNNNNNNNNNNNNNNNNNNNNNNNNNNNNNNNNNNNNNNNNNNNNNNNNNNNNNNNNNNNNNNNNNNNNNNNNNNNNNAUUUUUACCAUCUCCAAAAAUUACUCUUUUAAAUCAUAACUUUUUCAUGCUAAUUCCGAUUUUUAACACAUAGCAUGUCUAUGAACUCGUAAUAACGUCCUCUACGACUUUUAUGAAGAAAGUUUUCCCAAAUUCCAAACACAAGAAAAAGUCAACUCUAGGGUCCUUAAGUGAUAAACGGUUACUUAACACGGUAAAAGACCAAAAUAAUACCAAAGUAAAUAACCGUAAAAUAACUUAAGAACCGGGGUGUGACAGCCUUGACCCACCUAGGGCAGCCAAGGUGCCGCCUUGACCCGCUAAGGGGCUGCUUUCACCCGUCUAAGGCUGCCAAGGGGCCACUUUGACACACUAAGGGGCUGCCUUGUCCUUCCUAGACCCACCUAGGGUCGCCUUGACCCGCCUUGGCCUGCUUUGGGCUGGCUUGACCCGCAUUGGGUUGUCCUAACCCGCCUUGGCCCACCUUGGGCCGCCUUGACACGACUAGGGCUGCCUUGGCCCGCCUUGACCAAUCUAGGGCUGCCUUGACCCGUUUUGCGUCACCUUGACCCAUCUAGGGCUGCUAAGAAGUCGCCUUAACCCAUCUAGGUCCACUAAGAGGCCACCUUAACCCAUCUAUGACCGCCAAGGGGCCGCGUUCACCCCUCUAAGGCCGCCAAGGGGCCGCGUUCACCCAUCUUGACCCACUAGGGGGCUGCCUUGACCUUCCUAGACCCGUCCAGGGCCGCCUUGACCCUCCAAGGCCCUCCUAAGCCUGCAUAGGACCACCAAGGGGCCGCCUUAUCCCCCCUUGACCCGCCUAAGACCACCAAAGAGCCGCCUUAACUUGCCUUGACCCGUCUACGGCCACCUUAGUCCGCCUUGACUCGUCUAGGGCUGCCUUUACCCGCCUUGGGCCGCCUUGACCCGCCUAGACCCUUUUCGGACCGCUAAGAGGCCGCCUUAACUCAUCUAGGUCCACUAAGAGGCCGCCUUAACCCAUCUAGGGUGGCUAAGGGGCUGCGUUCACCCGUUUAAGGCCACCAAAGGGCCACCUUGACCCGUCUUGGUCCACCUUGGGUUGCCUUGGGCCGCCUAGACCCUCCUAGGACCGCCAAGAUGCCACUUUAACCGAUCUAGGGCCACCAUGAGGCCUCCUUAACCCAUCUAGGGCCACCAAGUGCCCGCCUUGACCCGUCUAAAGCCGCUAAGGGGCCGCCUUGACCCGCUAAGGGUCUGCCUUGACCCGCUAAGGGUCUGCCUUGACCCGCCUUAACCCUUAUAGGGCCUCUUAUAUUACCUUGACCCGUCUAGGGCCGUCGUGACCUGCCUUAGGAUGCCUUGAGCCUCUUAGACCCUCCAAGGGCCGCCUUGACCUGCCUAGGGCUGCUAAGCAGCAGCCUUGACCCGCUUAGGUCCACUUAGGGCUUCCUUGACCCUCUUUGGCCUGCUUUGGGCUGCCUUGACCUGCCUUGGGCCGCCUUGACACGUCUAUGGCCGCCUUGACACGUCUAGGGCCGCCUUUACCCGUAUUCUGCCGCCUUUACCCAUCUAGGGCUGAUAAGAGGUCGCCUUAACCCAUCUAGGUCCAUUAAGAGGCCACCUUAACCCAUCCAUGACCACUAAGGUGCUGCGUUCACCUGUCUAAAGCCGCCAAGGGGCCGCGUUCACCCCUCAUGACUUGCCAGGGUGUCACACCCCGGUCCCGACAUCGGUGAGUUUUUUAAGCACCGGACUCCGAUCCCGAGGUGCGAGCAAGUGUUACAAAGCGGAAUUAAACAACAACACUAUCUUCUAGGCUUAUCGGCUACCCUUUCCCGGCUCGGACAAAUCUAAGUACUUCUCUGCAAAAAAUAUCAAAGAUUGGUGGGUGAGCAUAACCACGCGCUCAGUGAGUAGACCAAUGUAAUAUGCCCGCAAAGCCAUAUCAUUUUACACAUGCUACAAAAUAUGUAUAUUGUAUACACAUCACUUCACGCAAUUCAUCACAUCGCACAAUCCCUUCUUAUUGGAUAUCCUUCAAUUUAGUGAUCCCCACGGGAACCUAAUGACCUUCAUGUCCUAUACCUUCGUGUGUCACAUCCUUACUUCGGCAUAACCAAUCAAGAAGUUCACAUGUUCCAUGACUAGUCAAACAAUGGAUCCAACACAUAAUUAUAUAAACACCGCAUAUUUCACAAAUCGACAUGCUUCACUAUAAAAAUAGAGAUAUUUCGUAAAUAGAUCAAAUCAUGUUUUUCGACUAAUUUGAUAGCAAAUAAGAAUAUUUUAAAACAUAUUUCACAAAUCUACUCACCUCGUAAAUACGAAUCCCCACCAAGAACGUCGAUAGUAAAUCCAGCCUCCUAAAAUGAGCCAUCUAGAUUCACCGUUGGAUCUAGCUCAAACUUCUAGGAUAGGAAGAGGACAACGAUACAAACCUGUAGCCCUUCACGGAUUCAAAAUCAGAAUUACAAAUCAAAAGUUAUGAUCCGCCGAAGUUUAGUCGUAACUCUAGUGAGAGAAACAACUAGAGAGAGAAUUAACAAGCUGAGCAAUCAACCUAUUUAUAGGGGAAAUAGGCUGACAUUGAGGUUCGGUGGGGAAAGGUUGGUCCAAAGAAAAAUAGACACUUGUCCAUUAGAGAAGAAACAAACUCCACACUUUGACAAAUGUCCCAUGACAAGACCAAAUGCUAGCUAGCUGUGUCAAAGCAAUGCAGCCCUUAACUCUACACACAUCCAACCUAAUCAUGUCAUGUGGUACUAAACAACAAAUAGAAAGCUGCCAUGUCACCACUCGAACCAACUUCGACGGAAGUUCGAUGAAACUUAGAAAAAUUGUUAAAAAUAGCUAAAAACUCUGAAAAAAUUACCGAAAAAUACGACGAACUCAUGACGACCUCUAAUUUCUAUUUCUAAGAAGAAAAAUCAAUUUUGAGAAAUUUUAAAAUUCGGGAUGUUACACAGGGGGCUGCCUUGACAUUCUUAGACCCGCCUUAACCCUCCUAAGUCCGUCAAGAACCAUCAAGGGGCCGCUUUGACCCUCCAAGGCCCUCCUAGGCCCGCUUAGGGCCACCAAGGGGCCGCCUUAUCCUGCCUUGGCCGCCUUAACCCUCCUUGACCCUCUAGGGCCACCAAGGGACCACCUUUACCCGGCUAGGGCAGCCAAGGGGCCGCCUUGACCCGUUAAAGGCUGCCUUGACCUGCCUUGGGCUGCCUUGACCCUCCUAGGGCCAUUAAAAGGCGGCCUUAACCCAUCUAGGUCCAUUAAGAGGCCGCCUUAACCCAUUUAAGGCGGCCAAAAGGCCGCGUUCACCCGUCUAAGGCCGCCAAGGGGACACCUUGACUCGCCUUGGCCUGCCUUGACCCGCCUUAGGCCGCCUUGACCCUCCUAGGGCCUCUUGAGCCGCCUUGACUCUCCUAGGGCCGCCAAGAGGCCACCUUAACCGAUCUAGGGCUACAAUGAGGCAGCCUUCACCCAUCUAGGGCCACCAAGUGCCCGCCUUGACCUGUCUAAGGCCGCUAAAGGGCCGCCUUCACUCGCUAUGGGUUUGCCUUGACCCGCUUUAGCCUGCCUUGACCCCCUUGGCCCACCUUGGCCUGCCUUGACCCGGCUAAGGCCACAAAGGGCCCGCCUUCACCCGGCUAAGGUGUCGCCUUCACCCGCUAAGGGUCUACUUUGACCCGCUAAGGGUCUACUUUGACUCGCUUUGGGCUGCCUUGACCCUCUUUGUCCCCCCUUGCGCUGCCUUCACAUGUCUAGGGCCGCCUUGACCUGCUAUGGGCCGCCUUGACCCGUCUAGGGGCGCCUUUACCUGCCUUGGCCCGCCUUGACCCGCCUUGGGCUGCCUUGACCCGCCUAGGACCGCUAAGAGGCCACCUUAGCCCAUCUAGGUCCACUAAGAGGCCGCCUUAACCCGUUUAAGCCCGUCAAGGGGCUACCUUGACCCGCCUUGGGCUGCCUUGACCCGUCUUGAUCCGCCUUAGGCUGCCUUGACCCGCCUUAACCCGCCAUGGGCCGCCUUUAUCUAGAGCCGCUAAGAGGUCGCCUUAACCCAUCUAGGUCCACUAAGAGGCCACCUUAACCCAUUUGUGGACGUCAAGGGGACGCGUUCACCUGUCGAAGGCCGCCAAGGGGCCGCGUUCACCCAUUUUGACCCGCCCGCCAGGGGCUGCCUUGACCUUCCUAGACCUGCCCAAGGCCACCUUGCCUCUCCUAGGCCCGCCUAUAACCACCAAGGGGCCGCCUUGACACUCCAAGUUUCACACCCCGAAUUUUGGAUAAAUAAAAAAUCCAAAUUCAAGGCAUGAUAACCAAAAAGAAAAAAACAAUCAAUACAACAAUUUAGUUUUACAACUUGUGGAAAAUAAUUUGAACAAAGUAAAACCUCCCUCAAAACUCACUGAAAUCUAGAAAGUAAACAAAAGGAACAAUGUCUAUCUGCCGCAGCCUCAACUCUGCUAAAUCUGACCUGCAAAAACAACCUCUACACCAUGGAUUGGUGCACCGGGUUGUAAACAACAAACCCGGUAAGCUUUAAAAGCUCGUAUGAGUAAAUCUACAAUAAAAGACUCAACCCAACAUCACAUAUGAAUAAAACUGGAAAUUCCUGCAUUAAUAACUUAGUUCAUGCAUCACCUAAAAGCAAGAGAAAUCCAGAAGAAAUAAUUAAGAGAACACAACAAUUCAAAAUCAUAAAUGAAUCCUGCAAAAAGCGUAGUUCAGGAAUCCACUAAAAAUCACACAAAUAAAAUUAAAGAAUCUCCUGCAUUAAACAUAGUUCAUGAGAUACUUAAAACAAGGAAUUUAAAUGACAACAAUAAAGAACAAUAAAGAACAUCACGCAAAUCAUUUCUCCACUCUUACUUAUGAGUUCGUCAACGCAUAGUCAUCCCCUAUAAGUAACUAGACAAACACAUACUCAUGGGUUCGUCAACACAUAGUCAUCCCCCAUGAAGUAUUGACAGACUAGAGCUCUAUACUGACCGUAACCAAUCCCCCGAUCAAAGCUUGGUUCCUGGUCCACCCACGAAGGCUCCUAAUCUAAUGCACAGAAUCACCACUAAGGCACACAUCCACAACUAAUGCACAACAAUAACCACUAAGACACAACCACAAUUAAUGCACACAAUCACCACAAAGGCAUACAACCACAACUAAUGCACAACAAUCACCACUAAGGCACACCCACAAUUAAUGCACACAAUCACCACAAAGGCACACAACCACAACUAAUGCACAACAAUCACCACUAAGACACACAUCCAAUUAUAACCCAUGAUCAGAAGUCCUUUUGAGAGAUUUUAUUUUUAUCAGAAAACAUAUUUUCACUUACCCAUGAGCUGUUGGCGAUCAAGCUCAUUUAUAUUAAAAAAAAACAAAAUCAUUUUCUUUCAAGGACAACUUCACAAUUAGCAAUAAUAAACUAUAAAAUAAACUGGGUUCCUUUAUGAACCUAUGUGAGAUUUACUCACAAUAUAGUAUUAUCAUCAUCAUCAUCAAAAUCAUUUAUCAUCAACAUUAUCAUCAUAAUAAUUAUCAAAAUCAUUAUCAUCAUCAUUAAACUUAUCAUCAUAAUCGUCAUCAUAACAAUUAUCAUCAUCAUCAUCAUCAUCAUCAUCAAAAUUACCAUCAUAAUCAUCAUCAAAAUCACCAUCAUAAUCAUCAUUAAACUCAACAUCACAAUCAUCAUUAUAAUCAUCAUCAACAUAAAUAGGUCAUAAAGUGGACCUUGGUGAGAUUUUACUCACAAUAUAGUAAUAUCAUCAUCAUCAAAAUCAUCAUCAACAUCAUCAUCAUAAUAAUUAUCAAAAUCAUUAUCAUCAUCAUCAUUAAACUCAUCAUCAUAAUAGUCAUCAUAACAAUUAUCAUCAUAAUCAUCAUCAAAAUCACCAUCAUAAUCCUCAUUAAACUCAACAUCACAAUCAUCAUUAUAAUCAUCAUCACAAUCAUCAUCAUAAUCAUCAUCAAAAUAAAUAGGUCACAAAGUGGACAUUUGUGAGAUUUUACUCACCUUUACUCCUGCUGCGUCUUCACACAACACAAGCGUCUAGCUCAAAACUAAACUCCACAAGUCACCCUAUUAACAAAAACGUUAACCUUAGUAACUGACAAAUACGACUUUUACACUUGUUUUCAUAAGUUCAACAUGACAACCAACCACUAACACUUUCAGACGUGCCGCCACAGGCAGAGGCGUGUGGGCCCCACACGCCCCUUAAGAACUUCACUAAACCCUAACAUGCAUAAGCAACUCUGAAAACUACACUCAAUAUGCUCACGUGCUCGUAUCGACGAGCACAACCUAACAAAGACUACAGACCUCCCAAUCCCCUCCCGGACGCGCCACCACCAACGGUAGCAAGUGGGCCCCACGCGUCACCAUACAACCUUGCAACAAAAGCACACCUACUAUACCCAACAUGAACAACAAGGCAAGGAGAGCAAUUUUCAUACCUAGAGUAACCGCCAAAUCAGUCGGAGCACGCUGGAAAACUGGGUAUGCAAUGCCCCUUCCCCCACACUUCAACUAACGUUGUCCUCAACGUUGAAAGAAUUAAAGUAUGCAAUGCACAUAAAAGCAUGGAAGAAAGAUGCGAAAAAUAAAAGCAUGAAAGUAAAGAGAAGAGUUUAGAGCUCCCUGGGAUUUAGUGAUGAAUUGCACGAUGCCGAUGUUGUCGAAAAGAUUGCCAAAGUUUUUGGAAAAAUUUGAUCCUCGAAUCGGACAGUGCAAACGACUGAAUUCAAUAGAAAUUUGUCGGGGCUCAUUGCAUAGCAAUGAGUCUUGUAGAUCUCGUCGUUCCACUCAAAAUCGACAUAUUACACGUCAGAAACGGACACUUCUGCUGAAAGUUAUCACCACACGAAUUUCACAGUUAAAACUGACAACUUUUAUCCGAGAUACCCAAAAUAUCCAAAAUAGCAGCUUCCUUGAGAUUCCAGCAGCAAGCAUCCUAUUUAUACGAGAAUUUCCAAUUCUCCAAAUACUUGUCUCACAGAUGCAAUACUUCCUCCUUUUGAUCUUUUUCUUGUAACAUCAUUCCCUCUUGUUGGCAUCAUCAAUUGAGUAGAACAUCAUCAAUUGUAAAGGAGGUGGCCAUGGAGGUUUGAGUGAUUGUGGGAGGAACUUAUCCUUAAACUGCAGCUUGGGAACACACAACUCAAGUCUUGAAAUUGGAAGAAUGUGAGGAACCUUGGAGGGUGAAGAAGGCAUGAACUCACAAACUUGGUGCUUCGUGGACUCUUGAAAAUCGGGUGCAUCAUCUAGUAUGGUGGUUGCUUCAUCAAAGGCAUCAGCUGUAUGAGUUAUCGCAACUUCUUCAAAUUAAAUUUCCUCCUUGGAUUCUUUGUCAUUUCGCUCGUUAACGCAUAUCUCCAUGGGAAUCUCGCUCUCUUGUGGUCCGCUAAUAUAUCUUUCAUCCUCUUCUUCCCAAGCAUUAGCAAACCGCCAAAUUUGAGCUUCAAUUUCAGAAAGUGUUUGUGCAAGCUUGGAUUGCCUUUCUUCAAGCUUUAAUUGAUCAUGUCUAAGCAUUUCAACCUCUUGAUCAUACUUCUCUGAUCUCCUCAAAAGUUCAAACACCAUCUCCUUGAUAGAAGGUUCUUCUUGUUGAUAUAUUGGAGCUUGAUAAGGUGUUGGAGCCCAUUGUCUAGCUUUAUAGUUGGAAGUGCUUGACCAAGAGUAGAACGGAUAAUCUCCCCAUCCACGAUUAUGAUCAUAUGAGUUGCAGUUGUAUGCUUGCUCAGAAUCAUAUCCAAAGUAAGCCAUAAAAAUCACUUUUGCACCUUGAACACAAUCUGUCAAAUUUCCGCGCAGACUGAGCACUGUUUGGUAUUUCACAAAUAUCUCUUAGCUCAGAACUCCAAAUGAUGAUCCGUUUGAUACGUUGGAAACUAGACUCGUUUAGCUCUCUAGUGAUAUAUAACAAUCCUGCAAAAAUAUGAAAUUAUCAGUUCGUAAUAAGCGUUUCAAAACAGUUGUAGAACACAUAAGAAACAGAAAAACUAGACUGAUUUCUUAAACACACUUCUGACACAAAACGACACAAAAUUCUAAAACUAAACCACACUGAAUAAACUAGAAUUAGAAUAGGAAUCCAGAAUUUAAAUUAAACUAAAUAAUCCCCGGCAACGGCGCCAAAAACUUGAUGGAUUUCCUGUAAGUAUACAGGGUGGAUGUAGUAUAGUGAAACGGAAGAGAAAGGGUUAUCGUUCCCACGAGGAUAUUUGUUCAAUUUAAAUUAUGAAAUACCUAAACUAACUAUACUAAAACACACAAAUCACGAUAACAAUUUAAAGAAACAAAGAAAGAAUAAAAUAAGUAAACAAAUAAUGAUAAAUGAAUCUAGGGCGUCAGAAUCAACCACUAACAAUCCUAUUUAUGCUUUGAUGUAACUAACAAACUCUUUCGUUUCUCUAGAUGACAAUUCCCUUAUCUAAGUCUAGUUACGGCACUUAGACCAUGGUUUUCCUUAAGUGUAUGAUUCUCUCCAGGUACGACAGAGGUCGUAUAUCCUAGCAUGCAGUCUAUCCAGUUACGGCAUAAAUUUAAUAUGUAAGACUCAUUACGUUCUAGAAAACAAGAGAAUUAUGCAAACCAUUACUUCAGUUACGACAAUAAUGUAAUUCACAACUCUUAAUCACAAAAAGCUAAUUUGAAUUAUAUUGCAGUUAUGCCUCAAAUUCAUCUUCUAAUUACUAGAUGCAAAGCCCUAAGGUGAUCAAUCAAAGAACCCAAACAUAUAUCAUCAAUUAAAAUAGUGACUAAGAAUUCAUCAUAAAGAAACUAUAAAUCAAUUAAUCAAUCAUCAAAAACAUAAACAAUGAUACUAUAGCAUCAUCCUAACCCUAGAAAAUGUUUAACAAAACAUCAUAACUAAAUAACACACAACGAAAACAUAAAAAUAAUGGAAAGGUGAAGGGUAGAUGGAUCUCUGCUCCUUUAGGCGUCUACAACAUGCUUCUGAGACCCCCUCCCCCCCCCCCCCCCCCCCCUUCCCAUGUGAAAUUCGUGCUCUUUUAUAUAGACAAGUUUCCUACUCAUCUUUGGCUUCAUAUUUCCUUGUAAGACUUGGAUUCAGACUCCUUUUCUUGAUAUGGAAUGGGAAAACCUUGAGAUAUCUCUUGUAGAAUUAGGAAUAUAUGUACUCCUUGAAUCCUUAUCUGCUAUAUUGUCCUUAAAGCUUUAGGGUUGACGAUCUUGUGCAACGAAACUUGAGUUCUUCACAAAAGCUUGUAAUUCCAAGCAGAUUUGCUGAUCUGACCUUUCUUCAUUCAAACGAUCAUAACUCAGUCUAGAAGUAUCGAAAUCGAGAUCCGUAAAAUUCUAUAGAAAAUAGACAUCUGUAGCUUUCCAAUGAUAUAAGGCUCAUAAUCUGAUUCGAUCUCAGUAAUUCGGCGAAGUUGGAUGUUCUGCCCAGGCAGAUUUUAGGACUUGGGAUUGUAGUCGUCUUUCAAUCCUUAUUUGCGCAUUUUAUCUCUUUUUCUUCUCUCUAUGACACAAACCUUCAAGAACACUAAAAUAACAUAAAUAAGUCAUAAAGAAGAUAACUAAAUACAAAUCUCAAGCAUAAAAGGCUUAGAAAUAUAGGAUAAUAUGAGCAUAUCAAAAAUUGGCCGGAAAGUUAUAAUCCACCCACCGUAACUCUACGUCGUGAGUCGAGCUUCAAGACCAUCAUAAGUCGAACCAGGGCGCCCAACACUUCCUAUCCCUACCGGUUUUAAGCCUCGUCGCCACCGCCGGAGGUAGGAAUCCCGACCGGUCCUCCACCCGAAACUUCUAGGCUUCGAUUCGCACGAACCAUCAUGAAUCGGAGCAAGCCACCACCACAAGUAAGGAUGCGCCACCGAGAUGAAGCGUCUCCAACCGGUGCCGUCGGUCGGAGUUGGCUGAAAAAACCGGGUCCGGGUCGGGUCAGCUGGAGAAUUUGGAUUCUCUCGGGGUCAGGAAGAGAGAAGGAGAGGGGAAGAAAUGUGAUUUUGAAAAAAUGAGGACCCAAAACAAAAUUUUCCUAUUUAACCUAAAUAUUCCUGAAAAGUCACAACUUCCGCUGACCAUAACUUUCUCAUACGAAGUCUGUUUUAUGCGUGUCGCGUGUCUACGAACUUGUAUCGUCGUGCUCUACAACUUUCGUGAAGGAAGUUUCUCGAGAAACCCAACGAAUAAAAAGUCAACUCUAAGGCUGCUAAGGGGUCGCCUUCACUCGCUAUAGGUCUGCCUUGGCCCGCUUUGGGCUGCCUUAACUCGCCUUGGGCUGCCUUGACUCGGCUAAGGCCACAAAGGUGCCGCCUUCACCUAGCUAAGGCCGCAAGGUGUCGCAUUGACCCGCUAAGGGUCUGCCUUGACCUGCUUUGGGCUGUCUUGACCCUUCUUGGCCACCCCUUGCGCUGCCUUGACACGUCUAGGGCCACCUUGACCUGUUAUGGGCUGCCUUGACCUGUCUACGGCCGAUUUGGGCCGUCUUGACCCAUCUAGGGGCACCUUGACCCGCCUUAACCUGCCUUGGCCCGCCUGGACCCGCCUUGGGCUGCCUUGACCCGCCUAGACCCUCCUAGGGCCGCUAAGAGGCCGCCUUAGCCCAUCUAGGUCCACUAAGAGGCCGCCUUAACCCAUCUAGGGCGGCCAAGGGGCCGCGUUCACCUGUUUAAGACCGCCAAAGGGCCACCUUGGGCUGCCUUGACCCAUUUUAGGCCGCCUUGGGCUGUCUUUAUCUAGGGCCUCUAAGAGAUCGUCUUAACCCAUUUAGGUCCACUAAGAGGCCACCUUAACCCAUCUAUGGACGCCAAGGGCCGCGUUCACCCGUCGAAGGCCGCCAAGGGGGCCGCGUUUACCCAUUUUGACUUGCCAGGAGCUGCUUUGACCUUCCUAGACCCACCCAAGGCCGCCUUGCCCCUUCUAGGCCCUCCUAGGCCCGCCUAAACCACCAAGGGGCCGACUUGACCCUCCAAGGCCCUCCUAGGCCCGCUUACGGCCACUAAGGGGCCGCCUUUACCUGUUUUGGGCUACCUUGACCCGCCUUGACUCGUCUUGUGCCGCCUUAACCUGCCUUGGGCCCCCUUGACCCGUCUNNNNNNNNNNNNNNNNNNNNGCCUAGACCAUCCUUGGGCCGCUAAGAGGCCGCCUUAGCCCAUCUAGGUCCACUAAGAGGACGCCUUAACCCAUCUAGAGCGGCCAAGGGGCCGCGUUCACCCGUUUAAGCCUGCCAAGGGGCCACCUUGACCCGCCUUGGCCCACCUUGACCCCCUUAGGCCGCCUUGAUCCGCUUUGGGCCGCCUUGACCCGCCUUGGCCAACCUUGACCCGCCUUAGGCCUCCUUGACCCUCCUAGGGCCUCUUAAACCGCCUUAACUCUCCUAGGGUCUCCAAGAGGCCGCCUUAACCGAUCUAGGGCUACCAUGAGGCCGCCUUCACCCAUUUAGGACCACUAGGUUCCCGCCUUGACCCGUCUAAGGCUGCUAAGGGGGUCGCCUUCACUCGCUAUAGAUCUACCUUGGCCCGCUUUGGGCUGCCUUGACUCGGCUAAGGCCACAAAGGUGCCGCCUUCACCUAGCUAAGUCCGCAAGGUGUCGCCUUGACCCGAUAAGGGUCUGCCUUGACCGGCUUUGGGUUGCCUUGGUCACCCCUUACGCUACCUUGACAAGUCUAGGGCCACAUUGACCUGUUAUGGGUUGCCUUGACCCGUCUACGGCCGAUUUGGGCCGUCUUGACCCAUCUGGGGCACUUUGACCUGCCUGGACCCGCCUAGACCCUCCUAGGGCCGUUAAGAGGCCGCCUUAGCCCAUCUAGUUCUACUAAGAGGCCGCCUUAGCCCAUCUAGGUCUACUAAGAGGCCGCCUUAACCCAUCUAGGGCGGCCAAAGGGCCGCGUUCACCUGUUUAAGCCCGCCAAAAGGCCACCUUGGCCCAACUUGGGCUGCCUUGACCCAUCUUAGGCUGCCUUGGGUCGUCUUUAUCUAGGGCCGCUAAGAGAUCGCCUUAACCCAUCUAGGUCCACUAAGAGGCCACCUUAACCCAUCUAUGGACGUCAAGGGCCGCGUUCACCCGUCGAAGGCCGCCAAGGGCCGCGUUCACCCAUUUUGACUUGACAGGAGCUGCCUUGACCUUCCUAGGCCCGCCCAAGGCCGCCUUGCCCAUUCUAGGCCCUCCUAGGCCUGCCUAAACCACCAAGGGGCCGACUUGACCCUUCAAGGCCCUCCUAGGCCCGCCUACGGCAACUAAGGGGCCGCCUUUGCCUGCUUUGGGCUGCCUUGACCCGCCUUGGGCCGCCUUUACCAGUCUACGGCCGCCUUGGGCUGCCUUGACUCGUCUAGUGCAGCCUUAACCUGCCUUUACCCACCUUGGGCCGCCUAGACCCUCCAAGGGCCACUAAGAGGCCGCCUUAGCCCAUCUAGGUCCACUAAGAGGCCGCCUUAACACAUCUAGGGCGGCUAAGGGGCCGCGUUCACCCGUUUAAACCCACUAAGGGGCCACCUUAACCCGCCUUGGCCCACUUUGGGCCGCCAUGACCCGCCUUGACCCGUCUUGACCCGUCUUAGGCCGUCUUGACCCUCCUAAGGCCUCUUGAACCGCCUUAACUCUCCUAGGGCCGUCAGGAGGCCGCCUUAACCGAUCUAGGGCUACCAUGAGGCCGCCUUCACCCAUGUAGAACCACUAGGUGCCCGCCUUGACCCGUCUAAGGCUGCUAAGGGGUCGCCUUCACUUGCUGUAGGUCUGCCCUUGCCCGCUUUGGGCUGUCUUGACUCGGCUAAGGCCACAAAGGUGCCGCCUUCACCUGGCUAAGGCCGCAAGGUGCCUCCUUGACCCGCUAAGGGUCUGCCUUGACCCGCUUUGGGCUGCCUUGACCCUCCUUGGCCACCCCUUACGCUGCCUUGACACAUCUAGGGCCACCUUGACCUGUUAUGGGCUGCCUUGACCCGUCUACGGCCGAUUUGGGCCGUCUUGACCCAUCUAGGGGCGCCUUGACCCGUCUUAACCUGCCUUGGCCCGCCUGGACCCGCCAUGGGCUGCCUUGACCCGCCUAGACCCUCCUAGGGCCGCUAAGAGGCCAUCUUAGCCCAUCUAGGUCCACUAAGAGGCCGCCUUAACCCAUCUAGGGCGGCCAAGGGGUCGCAUUCACCUGUUUAAGCCUGCCAAAGGGCCACCUUGGCCCGACUUGGGCUGCCUUGACCCAUCUUAGGCCGCCUUGGGCCGCCUUUAUCUAGGGCCGCUAAGAGAUCGCCUUAACCUAUCUAGGUCCACUAAGAGGCCACCUUAACCCAUCUAUAGACGCCAAGGGCCGCGUUCACCCAUUUUGACUUGCCAGGAGCUGCCUUGACCUUCCUAGACCCGCCCAAGGCCGCCUUGCCCCUCCUAGGCUCUCCUAGGACUGCCUAAACCACCAAGAGGCCUACUUGACCCUCCAAGGCCCUCCUAGGCCCGCCUACGGCCACUAAGGGGCCGCCUUUGCUUGCUUUGGGCUGCCUUGACCCACCUUGGGCCACCUUUACCCGUCUACGGCCACCUUGGGCUGCCUUGACUCGUCUAGUGCAGCCUUAACCUGCCUUUACCCACCUUGGGCUGCCUAGACCCUCCAAGGGCCACUAAGAGGCCGCCUUAGCCCAUCUAGGUCCACUAAGAGGCCGCCUUAACCCGCCUUGGCCCACCUUGGGCUGCCUUGACCCGCCAUGGGCCGCCUUGACCCAUCUUGACCCGCCUUAGGCCGCCUUGACCCUCCUAAGGCCUCUUGAACCGCCUUAACUCUCCUAGGGCCGCCAAGAGGCCGCCUUAACCGAUCUAGGGCUACCAUGAGGCCGCCUUCACCCAUUUAGGACCACUAGGUGCCCGCCUUGACCCGUCUAAGGCUGCUAAGGGGGUCGCCUUCACUCGCUAUAGGUCUGCCUUGGCCCGCUUUGGGCUGCAUUGACCCUCCUUGGCCCCUCUUGCGCAGCCUUGACACGUCUAGGGCCACCUUGACCCGUCUACGGCCACUUUGGGCCGUCUUGACCCGUCUAGGGGCGCCUUAACCCGCCUUUACCUGCUUUGGCCCGCCUUUACCCGCUUUGGGCUUGCUUGACCCGCCUAGACCCUCAUAGGGCUGCUAAGAGGCUGCCUUAGCCCAUCUUGAGCUGCUUUGACCCGCAUUGGGUCUCCUUGACCCGCCUUUACCCUCCUAGGGCCACUAAGAGGCCGCCUUAACCCUUCUAGGGCGGCCAAGGGCCCACGUUCACCCGUUUAAGGCCGCCAAGGGGACACCUUGACCCUCAUAGGCCGCCUUGACCCGUCUAGGGUCGUAUUGACCGCCUAGGGCCUCUUGGGCCGCCUUGACCCUCCUAGGCCCUCCUAGACCUGCCUAGGACCACCUUGACCCGCCUUGGCCUGCUUUGGGCUGACUUAACCCACCAUGGGCUUCCUUGACCCGGCUACGACCGCUUUGGGCCGCCUUUAGUCGCCCUGACCCUCAUAGACCCUCCUUGGGCCGCUAAGAGGCCGCCUUAGCCCAUCCAGGUCCACUACGAGGCCGCCUUAACCCAUCUAGGGAGGCCAAGAGGCCGCGUUCACCCAUUUAAGCCCGCCAAGGGGUCACCUUGAUCCGCCUUGGCCUGGCUUGGGCUGCCUUAACCCGCCUUAACCUGCUUUGGGCUGCCUUUGGCCGACUUGACCCGCUUUGGGCCGCCNNNNNN
rnacentral:lncRNA from 1 species